UACGUAGGGUGCGAGCGUUAAUCGGAAUUACUGGGCGUAAAGCGUGCGCAGGCGGUUUUGUAAGCCAGAUGUGAAAGCCCCGGGCUUAACCUGGGAAUGGCAUUUGGGACUGCAAGGCUUGAGUGCGGCAGAGGAGACUGGAAUUCCUGGUGUAGCAGUGAAAUGCGUAGAUAUCAGGAGGAACACCGGUGGCGAAGGCGGGUCUCUGGGCCGAAACUGACGCUGAGGAGCGAAAGCAUGGGGAGCGAACAGG
rnacentral:rRNA from 1 species